CAAAACAUCAUUCUAAUUUCAUAAACUAUUCAGUCAUUUCAUUACCAACAUACUCAUUGCAAUCAGAUACAAUGAAGAAGAGGACGAAUCAAUUUUUGUUUCUUUUGGAAAAGGUACAUAGGAAGAUCUUGAUUAGUAACAUUGAUUAGAAUAAAUUGAAUGUCUUUACUUUAAUAGUGAUUGAUUUCCGAAAUCCAAAUAAUCGUCAUUUUGGUUGAGUUUUGUCUGUUUACCUUGAUAGUGAUUGAUUCAAAUUAGAAUAAUUGAAUACCUUUACCUUGAUAAUGAUUGAUUUCUGAAAUCAGAAUAAUAGUGGUUUUGAUUGAGUUUUCUGUCGUUACCUAGAUAACGAUUGAUUCAAUUAUUGAUAUCUGAAAUCUGGUUUGAUUUUGUAAUCUUUCCUCUAAUCUAACCUCAUAUCUACUUAGGCAGGUUGAGGGAUUAUUUGGGGUAUGUGUAAAAUGGGUUUGCUUGAACAAGAGGUUUGCUUCUGUUGUUUUUGUUUUAGGGAUUAAUUUGUGCCUUUUUUGGUGGGUUUUGCUCUGGAAAUUUAUCUGCUAAUGGAAGGCAUUUACUUUUACUGAGCUGGAGGUUAGACGAUUGUGGGUUCUCUGUGAAAUUUUAAAGAGUUGAUUGGUGAUGAUUGGUUUGAUGCAAAGAUUAGCAGAAUUAUAGGAAAUGUGAAGGAAGAAAUAGGUUCUGCGGCUUUGAUUUUUUGUUUCACUGUUGACCUUUUCAGAUCCGAAAAGGAGUUCGGGUAAAACCCAAAUAAAAUUGUAGUUGAUUUGAUCACCAAUCUUUGCACGGGAGCAGUUAGGAUUACCUGCAAUUAGUUCAUUGUUUAUUUGAGUGGUCAAUAACAAUCAGUUAGGAACAUUUGGUUUUCUUAUGAAUCUUGAUGUUGGAUAUGAACACAAAGAAAGAAGAAGAAAAGCUACGUCUGGGAAUUAGAUCCAUUUCAGUUUUCAAACACUGCCUCUCCAUGACUUAAUAAGCAAUUCUAUAUAUAUAUAAAAAGAUCUGCCAAGUCCUGAAAACUAGAGUCGAUGUGUGGUCAUUUUUCUUUUAGUUCUUGCUAAUAGUUUUUUUCCAAGUGUUGUGUAAGUUAACUACGACUAAAGUGAUCCAUGAAAUUUGAACUGUUAAUCACUUAUUUUUUGUUGGGGGUUAUAGGUUGUCCAUUUUUUGUAUAUAUGUUGAUUCAUGACUUGGUAAUUACUCAACAAGUAUGGUAACUGGGGUAAGGUGAACAUAUAUAUAAUCAGGAAGCUAGCUAUACUUAAUACUCAAUUGGCACCUUAAUAUGGCAUAUUUUCUCUCCUAUCAUCAACCAUUUUGCUAGGUUGGUACACAAGUAAUUGGAAACUUGAAUAACACAAGAUAACUAUAUACAAAAGCCUUUGGGUUCCCCUUGACAACGUCAAAAAAAAAAAAAAAACUAUAUACAAAAGCCAAGGUGUUUUCUUUGAUAUAAUUUCUCUGCUUCUUUAUCAUAGAUCUUUAUAAAUUCUCAUAUAGGACUUUAGUUAUGCAUCUUUUCACAUGGAAGUCAGAUAUCACCAGAUAUCUGAGGGAUUGGGAAUAUGAAACAAACUUACUCCUCUGCUGCGUCUUCUUCUGCUUUACCAUGCAUGAUACUGUGUAUAUGAAUUCAUGAUGAUAUCAUUCUGUAGUGGAAGAUGAUUGUCUUACGAUUAUGAGACCCCUGUUUCGUUAUACCAACACUAUUGUUUUUUUUUUUUUUUUUUUUUUUUUUUGAGAAUGAAAGAGAAUACAUGUGGAGCAAGUUUUGAUAGUACAAUGGAUUAUUUGAUACACAGACUUCUUGGCCUUAAUGAUGCGCGCCGACCUCAACUGCUGCUAAAGGGUUCAGCUGGGCAUUUGCUAGAUGUGUGUAUGAAGAAUGUGGGAUUAGGUGAUUUAAAGCCAUGCAAAGGCUACCAUUUCCCUCAAGGACUGAGAAAGCUUUUCUAAAGAGCCCAAAGUAUUCUUGAGGUAGCUAAAACCUUGGAGUUGGUGAGAAUGAGAUCAAUUGUAAUUUCAUAAAGAGUGAAAGCAUUUGUUGCAUGUGUUUCAUAUUACUACUAAAGAGGAGAAUAAUCUCAUUAAUGAUGCAAUAGCUAAAGAUAUUAAACAGGUAAAUAUUUCUCAUCAAAUUUUGUUUUACAGUGUUUCAUAUUACUACUAAAGAGGAGAAUAAUCUCAUUAAUGAUGCAAUAGCUAAAGAUAUUAAACAGAACCCUAGCCUCCUCCAAAAAAACUCGGACUCUGCGUCUAGGUUUUUUGCAACUUCCUUCUCGUCUGGCGACGCUUGAGAUCGGCGUUGGCUUUUUGCCAUGCCGGUCUUAGGUGGCUGUCGGGCGGGGAAUUGAAAACUAUCUCCUGGGUAGUCCCAUGGGUGGGGUGACGUUCAAGUUUCUGAGUGGAAUGGGCGACGGUGGAGUCCGGUUUUGGUGUGAUUAGGCAGGUACAGUGGGCGUCGAGUGCUUCCAGGAUCUGUGGCGGCGCGCAUCUUCGGCAGGGGAUUUCCAGGGCCUGUGACGGCGUGGCUGUGGCGGUUUUGUGGCAGAUCGGUGUGGCGGCGAGGCUCUAGUGGUCUGGGAGGAUCGUUGGGGCGGCGUGGCUAUGAUGGAUUUGCGCGGAUCGUGGUGGCGGUGUGGCUAAUCAGUUUCUGUGCGAUUUCGUGAAGGAGGUCACGGCGUUGUUUGAUCGGGUAGCAUGGUCGGCGGCUGGAGGUUGGGGAUGGUGUGGUGGGCUCGGGUCAUCCUUCUACUGCUGGGCCUUGAGCUUAGCCCAAUCUCUUGGGGCUGCUUUUUGGCUCUACAUUGGGCUAGGGUGUUUGCCCUAGGCCCAUUCCUAUGUUUUUUAGGUUACCUAUUUACAAUAAUUCCCUAGUUUCAGGGACAUUCUAGGCACUUUUGUGCAUCUAAUUUUAGUAAUUGGUCUUGGUCUUGGUCUUGUCGACUUAAUUCUCAGUGUCUCUAGUUGUAUACCAAUUGAGGUCUCUAGGCGACUAGAUUUACUGGGUAUAUGUUAGGUUGGAAGGCUCUGACCCUUCUAGCGCCUUCGGCGUAGUAUCAAAGGGGGAUCCCUCUAUGUCUAGGUAUUUGAUUGUACAAUGAGUAGGUCUAUUUUCUAUGUAUCACUGUGGGUACUACUACUAUCUUCUUGUUUAUCUAGUUUGCAGCGGAAAGGUAUGUAACGGGUUAUUUUGGCUUAUGAUGAAUAUAUUUUCUCGCCCUUGGGCGCUUCAAAAAAAUAUCUAAGCAUUUGAAUUGGAAGACUAAUUUAUGCAUUUUGUAAAUGUUUCAAUG